rnacentral:rRNA from 1 species
UACGGGGGGGGCAAGCGUUGUUCGGAAUUACUGGGCGUAAAGGGCUCGUAGGUGGCCAACUAAGUCAGACGUGAAAUCCCUCGGCUUAACCGGGGAACUGCGUCUGAUACUGGAUGGCUUGAGUUUGGGAGAGGGAUGCGGAAUUCCAGGUGUAGCGGUGAAAUGCGUAGAUAUCUGGAGGAACACCGGUGGCGAAGGCGGCCUGCUGGGCAGUUGCUGACACUGGGGCGCGACAGCGUGGGGAGCAAACAGG